rnacentral:rRNA from 1 species
AGAGUUUGAUCCUGGCUCAGGACGAACGCUGGCGGCGUGCUUAACACAUGCAAGUCGAACGGUGAAGGGAUCAGCUUGCUGGUUCUGGAUGAGUGGCGAACGGGUGAGUAACACGUGAGUAACCUGCCCCCUUCUUCUGGAUAACCGCAUGAAAGUGUGGCUAAUACGGGAUAUUCUGCGCCUGCUGCAUGGUGGGUGUGGGAAAGAUAUUGUUUCGGUGGGGGAUGGGCUCGCGGCCUAUCAGCUUGUUGGUGGGGUGAUGGCCUACCAAGGCGGUGACGGGUAGCCGGCCUGAGAGGGUGGACGGUCACACUGGGACUGAGACACGGCCCAGACUCCUACGGGAGGCAGCA